UACAGGAGGGUGCAAGCGUUUAAUCGGAAUUACUGGGCGUAAAAGCGUGCGUAGACGGUUAUGUAAGUCAGAUGUGAAAGCCCCCGGGCUUAAACCUGGGGAAUGGCAUUUGAGACUGCAUAGCUAGGGUGCGGAAGAGGGAAGCGGAAUUUCCGGUGUAGCGGUGAAAUGCGUAGAUAUCGGAAGGAACACCAGUGGCGAAAGCGGCUUCCUGGUCCAGCACCGACGUCAGGCACGAAAGCGUGGGGAGCAAACAGGG
rnacentral:rRNA from 1 species